GAUGAACGCUGGCGGCGUGCCUAAUACAUGCAAGUCGAGCGAACGGACGAGAAGCUUGCUUCUCUGAUGUUAGCGGCGGACGGGUGAGUAACACGUGGAUAACCUACCUAUAAGACUGGGAUAACUUCGGGAAACCGGAGCUAAUACCGGUUGAUAUUUUGAACCGCAUGGUUCAAAAGUGAAAGACGGUCUUGCUGUCACUUAUAGAUGGAUCCGCGCUGCAUUAGCUAGUUGGUAAGGUAACGGCUUACCAAGGCAACGAUGCAUAGCCGACCUGAGAGGGUGAUCGGCCACACUGGAACUGAGACACGGUCCAGACUCCUACGGGAGGCAGCAGUAGGGAAUCUUCCGCAAUGGGCGAAAGCCUGGCGGAGCAACGCCGCGUGAGUGAUGAAGGUCUUCGGAUCGUAAAACUCUGUUAUUAGGGAAGAACAUAUGUGUAAGUAACUGUGCACAUCUUGACGGUACCUAAUCAGAAAGCCACGGCUAACUACGUG
rnacentral:rRNA from 1 species